UACGUAGGGGGCUAGCGUUGUCCGGAAUCAUUGGGCGUAAAGAGCGCGCAGGCGGUCGUGCAAGUCGCGUGUGAAAGCCCCCGGCUCAACUGGGGAGGGUCACGCGAUACUGCUCGACUUGAAGGCAGGAGAGGGAAGUGGAAUUCCCGGUGUAGUGGUGAAAUGCGUAGAUAUCGGGAGGAACACCAGUGGCGAAGGCGACUUCCUGGCCUGUUCUUGACGCUGAGGCGCGAAAGCUAGGGUAGCAAACGGG
rnacentral:rRNA from 1 species